rnacentral:rRNA from 2 species
UACGUAGGGCGCAAGCGUUAUCCGGAAUUAUUGGGCGUAAAGAGCUCGUAGGCGGUUUGUCGCGUCUGCCGUGAAAGUCCGGGGCUCAACUCCGGAUCUGCGGUGGGUAUGGGCAGACUAGAGUGAUGUAGGGGAGACUGGAAUUCCUGGUGUAGCGGUGAAAUGCGCAGAUAUCAGGAGGAACACCGAUGGCGAAGGCAGGUCUCUGGGCAUUAACUGACGCUGAGGAGCGAAAGCAUGGGGAGCGAACAGG